rnacentral:rRNA from 1 species
CAAGUCGAACGCGAAAGCCCCCGCAAGGGGUAAGUAGAGUGGCAAACGGGUGAGUAACACGUGGGUGACCUGCCUUCGAGUGGGGGAUAACGUCCCGAAAGGGACGCUAAUACCGCAUGACAUCCUGCUCUUGAAGAGCGGAGAUCAAAGCUGGGGAUCGCAAGACCUGGCGCUUGAAGAGGGGCCCGCGCCUGAUUAGCUAGUUGGUGGGGUAACGGCUCACCAAGGCUACGAUCAGUAUCCGGCCUGAGAGGGCGGACGGACACACUGGGACUGAGACACGGCCCAGACUCCUACGGGAGGCAGCAGUGGGGAAUUGUUCGCAAUGGGCGCAAGCCUGACGACGCAACGCCGCGUGGAGGACGAAGAUCUUCGGGUCGUAAACUCCUGUCGAGCGGGAAGAACACCUUCCUGGUGAACAACCGGGAGGGCUGACGGUACCGCUAAAGGAAGCCCCGGCUAACUCCGUGCCAGCAGCCGCGGUAAUACGGGGGGGGCAAGCGUUGUUCGGAAUUACUGGGCGUAAAGGGCUCGUAGGCGGCCAACUAAGUCCGACGUGAAAUCCCCAGGCUCAACCUGGGAACUGCGUCGGAUACUGGAUGGCUUGAAUUCGGGAGAGGGAUGCAGAAUUCCAGGUGUAGCGGUGAAAUGCGUAGAUAUCUGGAGGAAUACCGGUGGCGAAGGCGGCAUCCUGGACCGACAUGACGCUGAGGAGCGAAAGCUAGGGGAGCAAACG